AGUGAGGUUGGCAAUAGCAGUGUUUGCUAGCAUACACAAUCCAUUCUCUUCCCUAUGCCCUGCCUUUCGUAGAUGCUAAAAAAAAAAUAAUAGGUCUACACAGCUGUUAUAGCGAGUGUGAGAUUCUGACCAUAACUACCCCCUGCGUGGAUGGCACAAAUAUGGGAGGUGAGAUCAAGCAUAAACAUAGGGUAACUACGGAAGUUUGCAGCUGGCACUGAAUAUAAACACAGACCUCAAACAUGGAGGAAGAAGAUACGAAGAGACAGAAACAUAGUCAGCCCAUGAAGAUAUCAUUCUUGCCCAGCUGCAGACACUAAGAGAGGGAGGAACAUGUGGACACUAAGCAGGGAUGAACAUCUCAGAAUCCUUCCUUGAUUAUCUAGUCAAAGGAAGUCGGGAGUUAAUGACAAGAAAUACCUGUUGGUGUUAACCUCCUCCCCCUCACCUGCCUUUUCAAGGACUGCUUCUUCUACAGGCCAGCUGAUAGAUCUGGAUGGGAAUUAAUCCAGUAUGUCUGGUGGCCAGAUCUCUGCUGCUGCUGCGUGCAGGGGCAGGGGUAUACUGGUAUGCUGGUUUCACAGAAAAAAAAAAAAAAAAAAGGAAAUGAAUAACAAAUCAGAUAGAAAAAAGAAAAUGGAAAGCCCAGAUCGCUUCAGACAGUACACGCAUCCUGAUACUUGACCGUAGUUUUAAGAUGGCAUUUUCCCCGCUGCGUCCGCCAGAGUAUAGAAACGGCUUCUCGACGUGUAUUUUUUAUUAGCUGCAUAUUUAAUUGUUAACAAUAGGCUGUCCUGUUCGCCUGCAACUCUCCAGCUAGUGCCACCUUCCUUCUUGUCAGUUUCGAGCCGGUUCCCCGGCGUACCUGAUCAGAUGCGCGUUCUCCAUCCUACCCAACGGCAGUUACCUGAGGUAUU